CCUGCGGGGGGCAGCAGUGGGGAAUAUUGGACAAUGGGGGGAACCCUGAUCCAGCCAUGCCGCGUGUGUGAAGAAGGCCCUCGGGUUGUAAAGCACUUUCAGUGAGGAAGAACGCCUGGUGGUUAAUACCCAUCAGGAAAGACAUCACUCACAGAAGAAGCACCGGCUAACUCCGUGCCAGCAGCCGCGGUAAUACGGAGGGUGCGAGCGUUAAUCGGAAUUACUGGGCGUAAAGCGCGCGUAGGUGGCUUGAUAAGCCGGUUGUGAAAGCCCCGGGCUCAACCUGGGAACGGCAUCCGGAACUGUCAAGCUAGAGUGCAGGAGAGGAAGGUAGAAUUCCCGGUGUAGCGGUGAAAUGCGUAGAGAUCGGGAGGAAUACCAGUGGCGAAGGCGGCCUUCUGGACUGACACUGACACUGAGGUGCGAAAGCGUGGGUAGCAAACAGGAUUAGAUACCCUGGUAGUC
rnacentral:rRNA from 1 species